rnacentral:rRNA from 1 species
CCUACGGGCGGCAGCAGUGGGGAAUAUUGGACAAUGGGGGGAACCCUGAUCCAGCCAUGCCGCGUGUGUGAAGAAGGCCCUCGGGUUGUAAAGCACUUUCAGUGAGGAAGAACGCCUGGUGGUUAAUACCCAUCAGGAAAGACAUCACUCACAGAAGAAGCACCGGCUAACUCCGUGCCAGCAGCCGCGGUAAUACGGAGGGUGCGAGCGUUAAUCGGAAUUACUGGGCGUAAAGCGCGCGUAGGUGGCUUGAUAAGCCGGUUGUGAAAGCCCCGGGCUCAACCUGGGAACGGCAUCCGGAACUGUCAAGCUAGAGUGCAGGAGAGGAAGGUAGAAUUCCCGGUGUAGCGGUGAAAUGCGUAGAGAUCGGGAGGAAUACCAGUGGCGAAGGCGGCCUUCUGGACUGACACUGACACUGAGGUGCGAAAGCGUGGGUAGCAAACAGGAUUAGAUACCCGAGUAGUC